GCCCCUAUAGCUCAGUGGUAGAGCAAUCGCCUUGUAAGCGAUAGGUCGUGGGUUCAAAUCCUACUGGGGGCUCC
rnacentral:tRNA from 1 species